ensembl:lncRNA
GUCCAACUCUGUGUGACCCCAUAGAUGGCAGCCCACCAGGCUCCCUCGUCCCUGGGAUUCUCGAGGCAAGAACACUGGAGUGGGUUGCCAUUUCCUUCUCCAAUGCAUGAAAGUGAAAAGUCAAAGUGAAGUCGCUCAGUCAUGUCCGACUCCCAGCGACCCUAUGGACUGCAGCCUACCAGGCUCCUCCAUCCAUGGGAUUUUCCAGAUUCCACAUAUAUUUUCCUGGGCUCCAAAAUUACUGUAGAUGGUGACGGCAGCCAUGAAAUUAAAAGAGCUCUGAGGCCCUGUAUGAUGUAGCUCCCUCCAGCCUCCAACCCCCCACAUCCUGGGCCACUCUCUCCACUGCCCCCCAACAGCCACAUGGCCUCCUCAUAUGUCAACUCACCCCAGCAACUUCCGCUCCGCCCCAGGCCCGUGCUGCCAUAUCCCGCCCGCCAUCAGCUGCACACAUGGAAUGUUGCUCCAGGACCUUGCUUUCGACAGGUGGAUUCUUUACCAUCUGAGCCACCAGGGAAGUCCAGGGGUGGCCUUAGAUCUUCCUUAUAACUGGACAGGGCACUGCUGCAUCAUCUUUCUCUCCAUGAACCCGGUCCAAAGGUUCCAGCCAUAUCACAUUCCACACUUCCUUGGACUCAAAGUGCCUGUGGAUUCCAUGGACAAUUCUCCCAUGUUCAGUAAACAUUUUCACACCCAACUGUGGCCUUCUUCUCUAUGCCAUCAUUCUGGGUGACAACCUGCUCGUACAAUAUCCAGGUUUCACAAUGUCUUGACUACCUCCUCAUGUUCAAUUACCUUCUUUUCCACUUUAUUUCAGCCACACUGUAUCAUGAAAAAUUUUUUAAUGGUUCGAAUUAAAAGGUAAACACAAAGAAGUCUCACUCCCCCAUAUCUACCACAUCUUGUUCAAAGCACACAACCCUGAUGGUUGACUAUUAGGUUCUGAUAUUUCUUUUUUGUAAGAAUUAUUUAUAUCUAUUCUUUUUGCACCCAUAUUUCUUCACAAAUGCUACCAUAUUAUAUAUACUUCUUAUAAAUUUCUUUCUCCACUUAACAUACAUCCUGGUUCAACAUAUCUUUUUUUUUUUUUUUUUGCUAUAUUUCCUAUGAAUGUUAGUUAUAGUUACCAUUUUUAUUUCUAUAUCUUUCUGCUCUUUUUUAAACUAUUUCUUUUGGUAUUUAAGAAGGCUUUGCUUUUCUUCUAGGCUUAAAAUAAUUCUGAUAUAUUUUGUUUAAAAAAAAAAAAAAAAAACAAGUUUACUUUUCCCUUUCUGUGGUUUCUACUCUUUGGUUUGUCAGUGCUGAUAUAUUUUGACUGCACAUAUUAUCUGUACAAUGAUGAAUUUGUUUUAAUUUCUACUUUUAUUUUUUUGAGGGGUUGGUUUAUUCCUACUUCAUCAGAGCAUAUAAUGCUUAUACACUCUCCCUCUGCCCUUUGUUUUAACUUUGUAUCUACACUAAAGUGUAUUUAAUGUGUACCAUCAGUCCAUGUGCCAGGGUUUCUCCAGUCUUCCUUGGGCUGGAUAGAGCUCACCCUCUAGUUUCAUUUGUGAAUACAGCACUCCUUGAGUUCUCACAUUUUUUAAACUGUUCACUUGAAGGAUAAUUUAUCUAAAUAUAAAAAUCUUUGGCUUGCACUUUCUAUUGUUUCUUUAAAAACACAAUGGAGUAUUACUCAGCCAUUAAAAAGAAUACAUUUGAAUCAGUUCUAAUAAGGUGGAUGAAACUGGAGCCUAUUAUACAGAGUGAAGUAAGCCAGAAAGAAAAACACCAAUACAGUAUACUAACGCAUAUAUAUAUGGAAUUUAGAAAGAUGGUAACGAUAACCCUGUAUGUGAGACAGCAAAAGAGACACAGAUGUAUAGAACAGUCUUUUGGACUCUGUG